GUGAAAGAUAAAGCGAUUAGACACAAGUACAUCAAAACAUACAGUGCCUACCCAGAACUGACUAAUGGCAUUAUGUACAUUGGCAAGUGGGGAGAAACUGGAGCUCUUUUAAAGGGAUCUUACAGUAGGUUAAAAUGUGGCCAGAACACAGUCACGGGAGAACAUCCAAACUCCUUACGGAGAACGGAAUUAAACCCCGAUCUUACGAUCAUCCUACAGGAUUACUCUAGCCGCUACGCCACUGAGUAGCUCCGUUCAGGUGAGAAGUUAAAUCUCACUUCGCUUACUGAUGGCUGGAGGUGCCCAAGGUGACGUCCGAUAACCCUGACCGCACCGUCUCGCAGCCCUUCCUCUUUCACGGCUCCCAUCCGCUGCCCCGGCUCGGUGCUGUUCCACACUUACCCUGAGAGAUGCGAGCGCUCUGCAGCCAAGAAACGACCACUGCACCCUCUCUAAAGCUUCCACAUCAGGUUUGAUGUCUCCAGUAUAUGUCAUGAACUUUGUGGCAGCUGUACAAUGAAAUACGUAACAAUGAAGAGAAAAAGAACUGGUGCCAGAACCUUUCACUGUUCCGUUGUUUGGUCAAUGUAAACAUCAGCCCAGAUAGACUGAAAAGACAGGGUGUUGGGAUCUGGGGCGAGAGCUGAUUUCGUUCGUUCUCCAUGAUGGACAUCUCCAUGGUGCUGACUUUAUGAAGAUUGACCCGGAAGCUGUGCUCCAUGCCAGACGACAGGAUAAACUGAUAAGCAAGGCUUUGAGCCUACUCUGGGCUGACCUGGGGUUCGGACCUGAGGGCUCAGGGUUGGUUUGGAAUGUUGCUGUUUUCAUUUACAUGAUUUGUGCUUUUUUUCCCUUUUCUCUUGCACAUCAGGUGUUUUUUUUUUAAUUUAUAUUCUUUUUUUUCUUUAACUGAGUUCUUUCGGGUUUCUUGCUUUGUGGCAAUAUGUGAGCAAACAAAUCUCAAGGUUGUAUUAUUUAGACCUUUGACAAUAAAUGUACUAUUAAUGUUUGAAUCUUUGAAUCUUGCCUCUGCCACAAAUUUGUUAUUUUUGUUUGACGCGCCCUCAG